rnacentral:rRNA from 1 species
GGGUGGCGAGUGGCGGACGGGUGAGUAACGCGUAGGAAUCUACCCAAAAGUGGGGGACAACUCGAGGAAACUCGAGCUAAUACCGCAUACGCCCUACGGGGCAAAGCCGGGGACCUUCGGGCCUGGCGCUUUUGGAUGAGCCUGCGUUGGAUUAGCUAGUUGGUAGGGUAAAGGCCUACCAAGGCUACGAUCCAUAGCUGGUCUGAGAGGAUGACCAGCCACACUGGGACUGAGACACGGCCCAGACUCC